rnacentral:RNase_P_RNA from 1 species
AGAGUCGAUUGGACAGUCGCUGCCUUCUAUGAAAAUUAGGGGGGGGAGGAAAGUCCGGGCUCCAUAGGGCGAAGUGCCAGGUAAUGCCUGGGAGGCGUGAGCCUACGGAAAGUGCCACAGAAAAUAACCGCCUAAGUACUUCGGUACCGGUAAGGGUGAAAAGGUGCGGUAAGAGCGCACCGCACGACUGGCAACAGUUCGUGGCUAGGUAAACCCCACUUGGAGCAAGACCAAAUAGGGUCCCAAGGCGUGGCCCGCGCUGGGACCGGGUAG